GCCUGCCUAUGUGACAUCACUGGUUUCAGAGACCCUGAUGCCAACACUGAGUUUGGAUGAUGCUCUAGGCUGGCUGAAGGUGACAUGGCCUGUACGCUGCAGGUUUCUCCGAAGAGAAGCACUCAUUUCCAUGUCUUCCUGUGAUCUUAUGCAUGCACUGGAUAACACGAGACUGCAUGCCUUUGCCACAGGAUAUACAUUUUAAUAAAUAAGUAACGAAAGCAAUCUGUAGGGUAAGAAUACGUGAGAAGGUGUUCUGAUCUACGUUCCUAAUAUUCGCGGAGCAUUUCAAGACAACCAGGGUGCUUGAGGAAGCAAAGGAGUGAGAACAUCCGCACAGUGCAAAGGCUGAGCUCGCUGAGUCAGAAGAGGGCCUCCCUGGUCCGCUGUCACUUUCCAAGGAAUCCAGAACAUCUGUCACUAACCAUUCCUUGUCGUUCCCCCUCAUUCCUCAAGAUGCCAAAGAGUAUGAGCGAGCAGAAGCAACACAUCUGUUGCUUUUUUUUCAAAAUUAUUAACAAAAGUAAAAGUAACUACAGAUAUACAUGAUGACACAGAAUCAGUUGAGAAAUGGUUAAAAUGUUAGUUUCGUGGACACUGGGCCAUAAAACACUUUAGUUUUACUUCUUAUGAAAAUCAAUGUUGUAAUAAUUUGAGCGUAACGUGAAAAUCAAUAUACUACUCGGGGAAUAAUAAAAAUUUUGUAAUUUGUUUAAGUAAGCGGUAUUAUGUCUGCGAUUGAAACUAAUAAAAUAAACAUUAUCAAAUUAAGUGUUUAAUGCUCUUAGAAUUUAAUUUCCAUUAGAAAACUUCAAUAAAUAGAACGAAAGCCUAGCAGAAAUUAUUUUCUUCAUAAAAUAAAAUUUGG